rnacentral:lncRNA from 1 species
AAGAGACAGCGCCGCCGGCCGUGGGGAGCGGACGCAGUGAUUUGCUCCCCCUCGUGCAGCAACCCCCACACCCAGCACCAGGAGCCUGUUCCUCUCACGCCCUCACCUGGCUGAGCCGCAGUAGUUCUUCAGUGGCAAGCUUUAUGUCCUGACCCAGCUAAAGCUGCCAGUUGAAGAACUGUUGCCCUCUGCCCCUGGCUUCGAGGAGGAGGAGGAGCUGCUUUCCCCAUCAUCUGGAAGCGGCUACAGGAAGCUGUGUCUGUUCGAUUUGGUGGGAGGAGAUGUGCAGGGAGCUGUAUCUUGUCCUCCGCUUGUGAAAAACUCAAGGAUGUGGAGAAGAGUAGACCGUGGAACCCUGCUCUUCUGCAGCCAAGCUGAGGGGCAGGAUGCGUGUGGGACAGUGGUAGAGAAGCAGGGGAUAGACUCAUAGGCUGCAACAAAGGUCACUCUGUCCCUGGACACUGC